UACGUAGGGUGCAAGCGUUGUCCGGAAUUAUUGGGCGUAAAGUGCUCGUAGGCGGUCUGUUGCGUCGGCUGUGAAAACCCGGGGCUCAACUCCGGGCCUGCAGCCGAUACGGGCAGACUAGAGUUCGGCAGGGGAGACUGGAAUUCCUGGUGUAGCGGUGAAAUGCGCAGAUAUCAGGAGGAACACCGGUGGUGUAGACGGCUCUCUGGACCGUAACUGACGCUGAGGCACGAAAGCGUGGGUAGCAAACAGG
rnacentral:rRNA from 1 species